rnacentral:rRNA from 1 species
AACGAACGCUGGCGGCGCGCCUAAUACAUGCAAGUCGAGCGAGAAGACGUAGCAAUACGUUUGUAAAGCGGCGAACGGGUGAGGAAUACAUGGGUAACCUACCCUCGAGUGGGGAAUAACUAGCCGAAAGGUUAGCUAAUACCGCGUACGCUCCUUGGACUUCGGUUCAGGGAGGAAAGCGAUACCGUGGGUAUCGCGCUCUUGGAUGGGCUCAUGUCCUAUCAGCUUGUUGGUGAGGUAACGGCUCACCAAGGCUUCGACGGGUAGCUGGUCUGAGAGGACGAUCAGCCACACUGGCACUGCGACACGGGCCAGACUCCUACGGGAGGCAGCAGUAAGGAAUAUUGCGCAAUGGGCGAAAGCCUGACGCAGCGACGCCGCGGUGGGGGAUGAAGGUCUUCGGAUUGUUAAACCCCUUUCGGGAGGGAAGAUGGAACGAGCAAUCGUUCGGACCGGUACCUCCAG